rnacentral:tRNA from 1 species
GGGCCUUUAGCUCAGUUGGUUAGAGCAGCCGGCUCAUAACCGGCUUGUCCGGGGUUCGAGUCCCUGAAGGCCCACCA